rnacentral:rRNA from 1 species
UACGAAGGGUGCAAGCGUUACUCGGAAUUACUGGGCGUAAAGCGUGCGUAGGUGGUUUUUUAAGUCCGUUGUGAAAGCCCUGGGCUCAACCUGGGGAUGGCAGUGGAUACUGGAAAGCUAGAGUGCGGUAGAGGGUAGUGGAAUUCCCGGUGUAGCAGUGAAAUGCGUAGAGAUCGGGAGGAACACCAGUGGCGAAGGCGGCUACCUGGACCAGCACUGACACUGAGGCACGAAAGCGUGGGGAGCAAACGGG